rnacentral:rRNA from 1 species
AUUGAACGCUGGCGGCAGGCCUAACACAUGCAAGUCGAACGAGUGGCGGACGGGUGAGUCAUGUCUGGGAAACUGCCCGACGGAGGGGGAUAACUACUGGAAAAGGUAGCUAAUACCGCAUACCAUCGGAUGUCCUCAGAAGGGAUUGGCUAGCAGGUGGGGUAACGGCUGACCUAGGCGACAGUCCCACGAUGGUCUGAGCGGAUGACCAGCCACACUGGAACGGAGACACGGUCCAGACUCCUACGGUAGGCAGCAGUGGGGAAUAUUGCACAAUGGGCGAAAGCCUGAUGCAGCCAUGCCGCGUGUAUGAAGAAGGCCUUCGGGUUGUAAAGUACUUUCAGCGAGGAGGCGUUACUCGCAGAAGAAGCACCGGCUAACUCCGUGCCAGCAGCCGCGGUAAUAC